rnacentral:rRNA from 1 species
UACGUAGGUGACCAGCGUUGUCCGGAUUUACUGGGCGUAAAGAGCGCGCAGGCGGUCGUUCAAGUCGAGUGUGAAAGCCCCCGGCUCAACUGGGGAGGGUCAUUCGAUACUGAUCGACUUGAAGGCAGGAGAGGGAAGUGGAAUUCCCGGUGUAGUGGUGAAAUGCGUAGAUAUCGGGAGGAACACCAGUGGCGAAGGCGACUUCCUGGCCUGUUCUUGACGCUGAGGCGCGAAAGCUAGGGGAGCAAGCGGG